UUACAUCAUCAUCUACAUGACGGGAUUGAACAAUCUGAAUCAUUCCUUCAUCCAUCAGUCGUUGGAUGUCCCUUUUCACAACUUCAUAACCCCUCGGGUUAACACUACAAACAGCACAACCAUCAUGGUCAUGCUCACAAUCACUUACCAAACAAACAUCCUUAUGCAUAUGCACCAAGGACCUCCUUAUAAAACGCAAAUCAAAAACUUUAAACUCGCCAGGACAACCAUCCACCAUAUUCACAAAAGAGUUCCCAUGAGCGAGCAACGGGUUUGCUUUCACAUUCGGCGCACGGUCCUCGAAGGACACCAUUCCACUCUUCAUCAGCUUUUGAACCUCAUACUUGAGCGGGUAACAGUUCUCGAUAUCAUGUCCGGGUGCUCCUUGAUGAAAAGUACAACGGAGCUCAGGUUUGUACCACCAUGGAAGUGAUUCUAGAAUCUAUGGCAGGUUUCUUGGUUGGAUCAGGUUCUUGAGAACCAAAGACGGAUAUAUUUCUGCAUAAGACAUGGGAAUCGGGUCGAAAGAGACCUUUUUCCUCUCAAAGUUUUGUUGAUGAUGAUUGUUGUUGGUAUUGUUGUUGUAGGUGUUUGCUCGUUGUUGCGGUUGUUGUUGUUGACAUUGUGGUUGUUGAACUGGUGUUGAUUGUUGAUUAGAAAAUACUGGGAUAACGGAAGAUACUUGGUGAUGCUGAUGAUGGGAUGAUUGAUUCCUUCUGAUCUGAGGCCUCCUCUGCCUCCCACUACUUAAUGCAUUCGCUUCAUUGUCCUUCUCCUUGCUGAAACUGCUGUCAUAUCUCUUGCUUGUCGAUGCCUCAUCCUUCGACAAACGUCCCUCUCGGACUCCUUCCUCAACCCUCAUCCCCAUGUUUACCAUUUCGAUAAAGUCACUGUGGGCACUAUCAAUCAUUCGUUCAUAAUAAAAUGAACUCAGGGUUUUCAGAAAGAUCUUUGUCAUCUCUUUUUCCUCCAAAGGAGGAGUGAUUUGGGCAACCAAUUCCCUCCAUCUCUGCGCAUACUCUUUAAAUGUCUCCUUAUCUUUCUGAGACAUAGACCUCAGCUGGUCUCUAUCAGGUGCCAUGUCCACGUUGUACUUAUACUGUUUGAUAAAAGCCUCUCCCAGGUCAUUGAAAGUAUGAAUGCUGGCACUAUCCAACCCCAUUUACCAACGAAGCGCGACACUAGUCAGACUAUCCUGGAAAUAAUGAAUCAACAGUUGAUCAUUAUCGGUCUGAGUAGACAUCUUGCGAGCAUACAUCACUAGAUGACUGAGCGGACAAGUGUUUCCUUUAUACUUUUCAAAGUCAGGCACUUUGAACUUCAUCGGGAUUUUGACGCUGGGCACUAAACACAACUUAGCAACACUCUUUCCAAACAAAUCCUUACCUCUUAGCGUCUUCAAUUCCUUGCGCGGCUCAAGAAACUGAUUUUUCAUUUCAUCCAUUUCUCGUAGACAUCCGGAUCCUUAGAUGGCUCGGAAUGAUAAAUGGUGUCCUCUACACGAGGUAAGGUGUGCACAAUGGGAGGUGGCACAAACAUGACCGGGCUAGAUGCCGGCAUGGAAGCAAAGGUAGGCGCAAAGCCUUCGGGCAUAAAGUUGGACGACAUUCCCCACGGGAAUUCGACAGGCAUAGUAGGCGCAAAAUGAGCGGUAGCAGCAGGCAUGGUAGAGGUAGCCACCUCUAAAAUAACCGUCCUUGCAGGAAAAGUUGUAGGUGUUGGAGAAGAUUGACUAUGAGCAGCAAGAACUGACUCCAUCAUGGCAGUCAGGCGGGCGAUCUUGUCCUUCAGCUCUCUAUUCUCUUGCUCUAGAUGCUCCAUAAUUCUGAGAUGAUUACCGCGGGUGUUGUACCGAUGAGUCAGCUUGGCUAAAGCACAUAAGAAACACCAAUGAGACAUCUGGCGAAAGAUAAACCUGCUUAUGCAAAUGAUGCAUGAAAUGCAAUGCUUGUUUAUUUUUUUUUGUUUUCAAGGAACUUACUAUAUCAUUUACAAACAUAUAUAUAUAUAUAUAUAUAUAUAUAUAUAUAUAUAUAUAUAUAUAUAUAUAUAUAUAUAUAUAUAUAUAUAUAUAUAUAUAUAUAUAUAUAUAUAUAUAUAUAUAUAUAUAUAUAUAUAUAUAUAUAUAUAUAUANNNNNNNNNNNNNNNNNNNNNNNNNNNNNNNNNNNNNNNNNNNNNNNNNNNNNNNNNNNNNNNNNNNNNNNNNNNNNNNNNNNNNNNNNNNNNNNNNNNNNNNNNNNNNNNNNNNNNNNNNNNNNNNNNNNNNNNNNNNNNNNNNNNNNNNNNNNNNNNNNNNNNNNNNNNNNNNNNNNNNNNNNNNNNNNNNNNNNNNNNNNNNNNNNNNNNNNNNNNNNNNNNNNNNNNNNNNNNNNNNNNNNNNNNNNNNNNNNNNNNNNNNNNNNNNNNNNNNNNNNNNNNNNNNNNNNNNNNNNNNNNNNNNNNNNNNNNNNNNNNNNNNNNNNNNNNNNNNNNNNNNNNNNNNNNNNNNNNNNNNNNNNNNNNNNNNNNNNNNNNNNNNNNNNNNNNNNNNNNNNNNNNNNNNNNNNNNNNNNNNNNNNNNNNNNNNNNNNNNNNNNNNNNNNNNNNNNNNNNNNNNNNNNNNNNNNNNNNNNNNNNNNNNNNNNNNNNNNNNNNNNNNNNNNNNNNNNNNNNNNNNNNNNNNNNNNNNNNNNNNNNNNNNNNNNNNNNNNNNNNNNNNNNNNNNNNNNNNNNNNNNNNNNNNNNNNNNNNNNNNNNNNNNNNNNNNNNNNNNNNNNNNNNNNNNNNNNNNNNNNNNNNNNNNNNNNNNNNNNNNNNNNNNNNNNNNNNNNNNNNNNNNNNNNNNNNNNNNNNNNNNNNNNNNNNNNNNNNNNNNNNNNNNNNNNNNNNNNNNNNNNNNNNNNNNNNNNNNNNNNNNNNNNNNNNNNNNNNNNNNNNNNNNNNNNNNUAUAUAUAUAUAUAUAUAUAUAUAUAUAUAUAUAUAUAUAUAUAUAUAUAUAUAUAUAUAUAUAUAUAUAUAUAUAUAUCAACAAUUGCAAUAAUUUUUGUAUGACCAAAAAUCUCUUUUCAUUUAUAUAAUUGGAAGGAUUCCACUGAGUACAAUUUCAGAAACCAAAUGAAAAAUACAAGAGAAAAGGAGACUAGUCAUCCUAAGGAUCCCUAACAAUGUCAGAAAAUCUGGCUGAAGGCGUGUACUUCCUUCGAAUGCAUCGAAUCUCGGUCUCAAAAGAAGCCUUCAUCUGUGUCUUCUCAAGAACAAGCUGAUCAAUAAUCUUCUUCCAAGAAACGGAAGGCUGAGGCAUGCUAGAAGAUGAAACCUCUAGCUCUCUCUAUCUCUUCGUCACUCGGUCUUCAAGUAGCUCAAUAAGUGCAUCUUUGUCCUUAGACUCCAACUGCAACUCUUCAUGCUUCUUGCUCAAAGCAUGGAAACUCUCUUCCCACAUAUCCUUCUCUUGCUUCAUCUUGAUGAGUGCGUCUUCCAACUCCUCUACAUCCUGGUUAGGGAGAGUUAAUGGCUCAACCACAACCAUAGACACAGGUCUUUCACAAGGAUAAGUCAUCUUCAACUCCAAAGCUCUCUUCUUCACCCAAAGAGUGUAAGCUUCCAAAGCUACAUAAUUGCAUGGACCAAGCUCGGAUCUUCCUUUCCUAUGCACAUUAUGCCAAGCAUGCACAAUCUUCUCUUCAAAUGUUGGGGAUUUUUCCUCUCUUGAUAGAAAAGACCUUCUAACAAAGUGUUAUUAGGUUUGUCUCUCAAGGGGAACCCAAGUUGACGACGAGCUAAAGCAGGGUUGUAGUUAAUUCCUCCUUGUGUACCAAUGAGAGGCACAUUAGAGAAUUCACCACAACUAUCAAUAAUCUCCAAACUGCUCAAAGAAGGAUCAUACCAAACUAUAUCAUCAUUAGUGAGAGACAUAAGUCUCUGAGACCACCUUAGACAUUGUUUGUUCUCGACAAAAGCAGGCGUCUGAGGCAAGUGCAAAAUAAACCACUUGUGCAGAAGAGGAAUGCAACAGACAAUGGUUCCACCACCCUUAGAAUUCCUUAGAUGCAAAGAGAAAUACAUAUCACCCAAUAAAGUAGGUACAUGAUUCCCAAUCAAGAAAAGUCUAAUGGCGUUAACAUCAACAAAACCGUCGAUGUUAGGGAACAAAGCUAAUCCAUAAAUGAGCAAUACAAGGAUAGCUUCAAAAGCGUCCACACUACCAGCUUGAGCAAAAGUAGUAGCUUCCUUGAUGAGGAAAUCAAAUGGCAACCCAAACAAUCCUCCUUUCUUCACCCAAUAAGCCUCUAUCUCAGACUUCUUCAAGUGAAGAGCUUCAGCAAUAAUACUAGAUCGGGGAAUCUCCUCCAAUCCACUAAAAGGUACUCUACUAGAAACAUGUAUCCCCAAAAGAUGAGAAUACUCCUCCAAGGUAGGCACAAGCUGAAAAUCUGGGAAAGGAAACAACGGUAGAGAGGAUCAUAGAACUGCACCAAUACACUCAAGAGUCCUUCAACCACAUCAACAGAUAAGAUAGACAAUAGCUUCCCAUGACGUUGUUUGAAGUCCAAGGGAUCUAAUACAAAAGAUGCUAGCUUCCUUAACUCUUUCAAGUCGGGGCAUCUGAAACUGUACUUCUUAGUGUUCCUUCAUCCAUAAUUCAUGGUCUGAAAAUAUUUGCAAAUAAUACCUCAGUUCCUUGAAAUUUUCGUGUGAUGAAUGUUAUGAUGCGCAUGAAUGCAUGAAUGCAACAAUCACAAAUAAGAGAUCACACACAAGGCAAAAAAAGGUCAAGGUAUGAAUCAAGUCAUUGUCAAGAUCAAUCAUCCAUUUUGGUGGAUUAUGGUUUACACCUUAUCAACACCCAAGUUCCAUUGAUAUUGACAAGACUUGAUCAAGGUUGUGCAAGUCGGCAUGAGUCUGCGCGUAAAACAUCCCAAAGGAGUGACUAAGGUAUAAAACCGUGUAGAUCAUGUUCUAAAGCAGUCCCAGAGUCUUAAUUCCAUCUAUCGUAUUAAGGUUAAGAUGAGAGAAACUCGUCUGAGUGUAGUAUCGCGUAACAACUGUUAUCAAGUCUACACUUGAACAGUUUCCGCACUACGUCCUAAAUAGGCCAAGAGGGGGUAAAUGUUCUACGGUCCUCAGCUUCCAGACCCAAAUUAGAGAUAGUAAUGCCUAACCACAAAUACUUGUGUGACAUUUCCAAAUCCAAAAGAGUCUCCACUGAGCAGAUGGAUCUCAAGCCAACUUGUUAAGGACUACUCUAUACAAGUCGAACAUGACUAUACCAUCCUCCUAUCUUAAUUGCACUCAAGUUCGGGUUAGAACUUAUAUCACCACUUAGGGAUCACCAAGCACAACAAGCAUAUUAUAUCACACAUACAUAUAUACAAACAUCACAUAUAUACAAAUAUAUACACACAAAAAUUAGGCUAAACCCACUGGAGACUACUCCCCAGCAGAGUCGCCACUUAAUUUCUGUAGCGGUAAAUUCAUGAUCAUCAAGCUAUGGAUAAGCUAGAGAUCAAAUAAUAAGAGUCGCCAUCAUGCUUUUACUAUUUCCAAAGGAAAAAGGGAAAAAGUACGAACAAAACCCAAUAGUAAGAAGUUUUCAAAUCAAAACUAAUAAAAUGUCAGAGAUUACAGGUAAGGGGGUUGGUUACACAGAGGGAAGGUGUUUCGUGGGUUUCACAGGAAGGUACUCCUAGGGAGCCCUUUUUGUGUGCAUAUGUAUUUGGUACAAAAAUGAUGUUUACAAACAAAUAGAAUGGGGGGAUGAGAAAAAGAAUUCAUUAAUUAUAUUUUUGUGUUUGGCAAGACCUUCGGUCUUGUGCCCAUAUACCAACAUAAAAAUGAGGGAUUAAAACCUCGUAGUUCGUGAUACAAAUUUCAAAGUGGAUGCAUUGCUUUUAACAAAAAUUAAGUUAGAAAGGCACAAAGGCUUAAAAAUGGUUUGAAUGAGUUAAUUCUUUUUGGCUUUUUGAAAGUUUAAGUCAAGUAUAGUUAAUUUUAUUUACAAAUUUGAUUUAAGAAAAGAAGUUUGAAAAUGCAAUGGCAUAAGGCCAAAGUUUCUAUCUUUUUGUAAAGUGGUCAAAGUUUGGAACAAAAUAAGUUCAAUCAAAGAAGAUUUUGAAAAGGGAGGGAGAGAUUUUGAAAUUAAAGAAAUGGGGAGAAGAUGAAGAACUAAUCCUAUGCAUAAAAUUAAAAUUUAAGAGUUGAAAAAAUAUGACCAAAUGGGUAGCAAUCCAAUAGAAAAGAAUGUCAAUAGAAAACCCAGAAUUCCCUUGGACAUUUAGAAUCAAGCAACACACAAAUGCACAAUUAUAUUAUCUUGAAGAGCAAAGGCAUCAAAUAAAGAUAGCCACUUCCAAGCUUUAUCCAUUCCAUGAUCUUCUUCAAGAUUAGCCCAUGUAGCAGAUGGAUUCCACAAGUCACAACUUCAAAAUAACAACUUCACAAUGAUCAUGUUGCAGAUGAACUCAGAGGGAUCUUGAAUGAUGUAUCAGAUGAAGUUUCAAAUUUCAAGCACUUGGUUUCUCAAUAAGUUGGCAUUGGCCAAGUCCUUUAGCAUAGGAAUGUUGCCUAAGUUCUAAGUUCCAAGAUCAAGCCAACAGUCCACACAAAAGUUUUUUAGGGUUUUUUGUUGUUAUUAUGUACAUUAAUGGUCAAAGUCCACACAAACAAACAAAGUGUACACAAACAAGAUAUAUCACACAAUAUGGUCCAAAUGGACAAAGUGAAAAUUGCAUUAACAUAAACAAUUAGAAUGAUAUGAAUAAUGGCAAAUGAAUAAGGGCAAGAAUUAAAUGACAUUAAAAUAAAUGACUUGAAAUUAGAAGUUAGUAUGAGUUAUAAGUUAGUAUUGUUUUGCUUUUGCUUUUCAUUUUAAGACAUUCUUUGGAGAACACUCAACCCACUUAUCACAAGCAUGGAUUCUUGAGCCAAGACAUCUUCCAAAGGAAGGAAAAAAGGCCAAGUUUCCACACAAUACCAUGAAAGAGGGGANUUUCCAUUAAAGCUCCAUGUAGUCUGAGAGACUGCUAUCUUUGGCAGGCACCUGUCUGAAGCCCUCCUUAAGAGGCCACAUUCUUGAUUUGUUUAAUUUUUUGUGCUAAAGACUCAGUGAGGCAUGGUUACAUUGAAGACCUCCUAAGUGAAGAGGCAUUGGCCCAGAUAGAAGGGAUGGCAAUCCAUCCCCUGCUAUUCAGUUGAGUCUUUCAUAUUGCUCGCACUAUGUGCUGAUGAUUUGAAUAAACACCCAAGAUCAUUGUAGUAUAGAGUCAGUCAUUGUGGAGUAGAGUUCCUUAUUCUGGACUCCCACACCUUCUUUGAUUCAAGCUCACCCCGGCCAGGGUGAGAAGCUAUGAGGUCUAACCUCAUCUCCCAUUUUAUCUGCUCACGCCUACGGUCAAUGCAGUGGUUAAGAGCCCAAACACCCUUACAUAUCUGGCUUGUUUGUCGAGGUUGAUAUGACCCCUUAACUAAAGCCCAGCCUUGUAUGAGCCUCUUGGUUGUGUAUAGGCGUGUGAUAAUUGAUUGAUAUGUUUGCUGGUUGCUUGCUUGUGCAUCCUUCAUGUUGCUUUUGCAUAUUGUUUGCAUUUUGGCUCUUGCAUUUGUUAUUUUUUUUGUUUGAGGAGUCAGAUGUAAGACCAUGAUUGGCUAUCUGUUUCCUGUUCCUUUUGGGGAGCUGGAUAUAAGACAUUGAUGGCACUCCAUCUCCUAUAUUGUUUUGUUUUGAGGAGUCAGGUGUAAGACCAUUGAUUGACUAUUUGUUUCCUGUGUUUGUUUUGUUUUGAGGAGUCAGGUGUAAGACCAUUGAUUGGCUAUCUAUUUCCUACUUGUUUUCUUUUUGUGGAGUCAGACGUAAGACCAUUAAUUGGCUAUCUGUUUCCCCAUGUCGCUUUGUGGAGUUGGACAUAAGACGCAUUUAUUGGCACUCCGUUUCCCAUUUGUUUCCGGAGUUGGACGUAAGAAUUUAUUGGCAAUCCAUUUCAGUUUUGUUGCUCCUUUGAGCUUGCUUAUUUGCUUUUGCCUUGUGUGCCUAAUUCCAAAGGAACUUCCUUGAAUCAUUUCCUAUGAUUUUGAGAAAGCGAUUCCUAAUUUGUGGCUUUGUCCUUAACCCUUUUGUGCUUAACCUUGAACCUUGUUUUCUCUUUAACCCAAACCAGAAAAACUUUUGUGGCAAACAUUUUCAUCUGUUUUCAAACUAGAAACCUAGCCUUAAGCGUUGAUUUUCAAAUUCAUUUUCACAAUACUUCUUUUGAUUGAAUCUAAUGUCAACUUUGACAUUCUUUGUGAAUAUCUAUUUGGUUAAUUUCACUCACUCAAUUGCUUUUGUGGCCCUUGUCCACUCUCUUAAUCAAGUUUUCAUACAUUAGCCAUAUAUCUGAAUUAUUAUAGUGGUUGAUGUAAAUCUCAACCGGCAUCCUUAGUGAUUGAAUUGUAAGACUCCAUGCUUAUUAUAGGGUUAACCCUCACUAGCAUGUCGAAGCUUUUCUCACAUGGUGGAUUGUUGGUUCAGGUUGAGUUUUCUCCCGUUGAUAAUGAAGACCUUAAGGUUCUUGUUUAAAAUCAAUCCACUCACUUUUUGGAAAUUUUUUAGCCGAACUACGGCGUUUUUGAUCCUUAUCUUUCAUGAAAAGGUACGUAGGCAAUGAGUUUCAUCAUUAAACACAAAAAUAUAAAAAUUGUAUAUUCUUUUCUCAUCCUCUCAAUCAUGGUUUGCACAAAAAUAUUUCAUAAACAAAUAUAAUACAACAUUUGUGAAAAGAGGUUCCCUAGGAGUACCUAGGAUGCAUUGGGUGCCUAACACCUUCCUUGCAUAUACCCCGCCUUACCCAGAUCUUGGCCUUUUAUUAGUUUUCUCUGUGUAAAACUUAAUAGGCUUUUGUUCGCUUUCUAGCCAUUCCUUUGGAUAAAUAGAAGUACGGGGCGACUCUAUUUUGUAUGCUUUGCUUUUGAUUUAGUCAAUAAAUCAUAAGGUGACGAAUACACCGCUACAAGAGGCACAUUAGUGAAUUCACCACAAACUGUCAAUAAUGUCCACACUACUAAUGACAGAACAUACCAACAAUUCAUCAUUAGUGAGAGACAUAAGUCUUAAGACCACGUAGACAUUGCUUGUUCUCUAAAAAAGCAAACGUCUGAGGCAAGUGCAAAAUAAACCACUUGUACAGAGAGGAAUACAGCACACAAUAGUCCCACCACCUUUAGAAUUCUCAAAUGCAAAGAGACAUACAUGUCAUCCAACAGAGUAGAAUAGGAUUCCCAUCAAGAAAAUUCAAACGGCAUUACACAUCAACAACCGUCAAUGUUAGGGAACAAAGCUAACCACAUAGAUGAGGCAAUACAAUAUGGCUUCGAAAGCAUCCAUGUUACCCUGCUUGAGCAAAAAAAAAUAGCUUUACCAAUGAGGAACUCAGAAGUCAACCCAAAAAUACCUCUUUCUUCAACCAAAUGAGCAUCAAUCUUAUAUAUCUUCAGAUGAAGAGCUUCAGCUAUGAUAUGAGAUCUGGGAAUCUCCUUUAAUCCACUAUAAGGUAUCUUUGUCAGAUACGGUAUUCCCAAAGAGAUGGCAUAACUCCUCUAACGUAGGCACAAGCUGAUAAUCAGGAAAGUGAAGCACUGGUAAGAGGAGGAUCAUAAACUGACCAACACACUCAGAAGUCCUUCAACCAUAUCAGCCACAGAUAACACAGAUAAAUGUUCCCAUGACGUUGCUUAAAGUCCAAGGGAUCUAAUACAAGGAUGACAACUUCCUUAGCUCUUUCAAAUCAGGACAUCUUAAACAUGUCCUUCUUAAUGUUCCUUCGUCCAUAAUCCAUGGUCUGAAAACAUUUGCAAACAAGACCUUAGUUCCUUGAAAUUUAUUUUCUGUGAUGAAUGUCAUGAUGCGCAUGUAUACAUGAAUGUAACAAUCACACACAAGGGAUCAUAAACAGGCAAGCACAGUAAAGGUCAGGGACGGGAUCAAGUCAUCAUCAAGAUCAAUUAUCCAUUUGGUGGAUUAUGGUUUUCAACUUAUCACACACCAAGUUCCAUUGAUAUUGACAAGACUUGAUCGUAUCAACCAGAAUCAAAGGGUUUGUUAUGAGUCACGAGCAUGAGUCAGGUGUAAGACACCAAUUUUGACCCUAAGAUCCCUCAUGCAAUUUCAUCAUAAGCAUUAGCGUUGGGAUCAUACCUUGACAUCCUCCUUACCCCUCUUUCAUUGCGUUUGUCUUGGAGAGAUCACCAAGCACUAUGUGAUUGUAUCAUACUUGUAUAUUAUCAUUUUACUAAACCAAAAUACAAAAUAUGUCUUUGUUUGCCUAACUCUUUUGUAGGUAGGCAUGAUCACCAUGAUAUAUAAGUUCAUAUAUAGGGGUUUAUGACCCUCAUGACAAAGAGCACAACCAGUGAAUUGAUCCAAGAAUGGUAUGAAGCAUCAUAUAUUAUUCCAUUGAUUCCUACAUGUUAAAUUGAUCAAUCAUUCUUGAAGAGUUUGAGGGUGAUUUGUCCUGGAACCCUAGUUUGACUGGGUAUCUUGAGUAACUCUCCAACAAGCUAUCUUGCCAUUUGAUAAAAUUUCUCAAGGGACACUUCAAAAUUCAUCAUCUUAUGCAUAUAUGAUCUACCAUGAGCCAAGAAAGUCAAAGAAUUGAAGGUUAGCAAGUUGGUUGAUGGUGGUUGGCCAGAUGAAUUAUCUGAUCAAACUGGGUCUCCCUAGACCCUAUCUCCUACAAUUUUCACCCAUAUGAAAUUAUUCCAAUAGCAACGUUACUCUCAAUGGCAUCCAAACAACUUUCAUGUUGAUACCUAGAGCUAGUUUUCUUGGAAAAUCAUUUUCUAUGUUGAAACAUUAUAGGUCAUUUGUCUAACACCUAAUUGAAAGUCAACUUCCAAUCCCAUAACUUGCUCAAUUUUUAUGAGAUGAAAGAUUUCCAAGUUGAACAUCAAUUCAGGAUGUCUAAUUCAACUUUUAUGUUUGGAGUGAGAGCUAAUUUCAAUUUUAUGAGCAUGUGAUAUGAAGCUACAUUAUAGGUCACUUUUGACCUAUACCAUUGAACAAGUGAUUUUUUCCAAACUUCAAAAAUGCAUACUCUAUCAUUUCAAAUCCAAAUGACAUGAAAUCGGUGACCAUUUCAAGGUCUUUGAAAGAGCUAAAAGUUUAUGAAUACACUUUUCUCAUUUUAAGCUCACAUAAAAAGUUAAGUAAGGUGGAAUCUUGAGUAUAUAGGCUUGACACUUAGAAAAAAAUUGAUAUGUUAAAAUUUCCAAACUUCCACUCAAAAUUCAUCAUGAUACAAGCUUCAAAUGGAAAAGUGUUGAACAUGAAAGUUAUUCCUCUUGAUUUACCUUUCCAAAAGUCCAAAUUCAUCCAUUUUGGACAAGGGUUGAUGGGUUGCGCAUGGCUUGAACAUUGCAUCAUCAAUUUGCAAGAAUUAGACUUCAAGUUCCAUGUACAAUUGCCAGCACGUCCAAUUUGAUUUCAGACUUGUUCAUACUCAAUUAUGGAUCAAAUGUAAUGAUCUCAUGAACAUGUACAUGCCCAUGCGCACAUGCAUCACUCAUUUCCGAUUUGGAAAACUCAUUUGGAAGGUGCAAAUAUCACUAUAGAUCAGAUAAUAAGGAUAUAGACUCAGAAUUAGGGACCCCGCUUCGCGCCAGCUUUGAUCCCAACACCAAACCUUCCAUUUGAGAGGAUAAUCCUAAGAUUUCCUUUGGAAAUUGAGUUGGAAUCUCACUGUUUUGAGAUUCAAAACUCCAGGGAUCCAAGACUUUUGUGCAUUCUAUUACUUCUGUAAGGCAUACUGACAAGAUCAAGCAGAGCCAAAGCAAGUACAAUUGAAUCCAGACCUGCAUUGAAGGUAUUUUCCAAAAAAUUUCAUCUCUUCGAUUCUCUCUCAAUUCCACUCAAUUCCUAGAUCUUUGGUUUUGAAGUCCUACCAAUGUAGCAGAAGAUUAGUUGUGCUUAGAGGUCAAAUCGAAGCACUCAGUUGACACACCUCAAAAUUCAACUCCUCAUAUCUUUCUAUAUAUGUGGAGUUAAGUUAAAAUUGAGGUCAGAUUCGUGCUCUACGUCAUUUUUCUUUCAGAUCAUUUCCUCCUUUUUCAUUUUCUUGAUGGUGAUGAGUGAACCAGUCGGCCAGGGUCACCGGAGAAGAUGACCGGCCUUUGACGCCAGCGAUGCGCUGGAAGUUUUCAGAGCAUUGAUUUGGUUCAAAUUGUUUAAUCUCACGCGUUGGUGUCCGGAUUACCAUUCAUCUGCGCAUUGACUUAAGUCCACGGUGGAAAGCGCGUUGAGGACCACUUGAUCUGCCACCUCAUUCAAUUAGUAGGGAGAUCAAGUGGUCCACGUUUUUUUUGUUAUUUCUGAUUUUCUUUUAUUCCUUUUAUUUUCAUUAAUUCAUAUUAAUUUAAUAUUGAUCCAAAAAUAUGAGAUUUCACAAGAAAAUUUCAAAAUAAUUUUCCUCUUUCAAUAUUCUGAAUUAAAAUUAUUUUUGGAUAUUAUUAAUAUUUUUCAUGAUUAAUUGAUUUUGAAUUUGUUUUUAAUUGUUUAAAAAUACUUUUAAGUCUUAAAAAUUCUGAAGUUUUUUCUCCAAGGUCAUUGGACCUUGUUUGACCUAUGAUAAAUCUCAUGGCCAUUUCUUUGUGUUUUGAUGAGGUUUUAGGAAUUUGACAAACCAUAUUUAAUUUAAAUGCCUUAUUUUAAUAUUUUUAAUUUGAAUAAAUGCCAAAUAAUUUUGUUGACGCAAUUGUGAUGACUUGUUUGAGUUUGACUCUUGUUGUGGGCCUUGGUCAAGUUGAUUUGCCUUGUCAAGUUAAUAUCAUUGAUUAGGGGGAUUGAUGGAAUGUACAUUCCAUCUCCCAAAAUGAAUGGAUGAGAUUAAUUUGGUAAAAGUCCCCUUUGAUCAAUUUGAGUUUUGAUCCAUUCCCUCCCCUCUUCAUCUCAUUCCCCUUCUUUAUGCAUUCAUUUUGAUUUGGCUAUGAUAUCUCAAAGUCCUAAGCUAGUUGAUUGAAAAAUUAACAUGAGUAUGGAUGAGAUUAGGCCCCCUUUUGCAUACUUUUUUGUGUGUUGGUAUGUUUCAUGAGCAUAGUCCAUUCUACUAUGUCUCUAACAUGCAUUAACACCAAAAUCUAUUGCCCGACCUCAAUAGUUGUGCUUCUAACUAGUCCAAUUACGAUUGCUUAACAUAGCGCUAAAAUUUGUGACACAAAAGACAUAACAUUCUAGUUAGUGAGAUGUAGUCUCCCCUCUUUCAUGGGUAUUGUUGGAAUGUUAUGUCUUUUGUGUCACAAAUUUAGCGCUAUGUUAAGCAAUCGUAAUUGGACUUAUGUAGAAGUCACAACUAUUUGAGGUCGGGCAAUAGAAUUUUGGUGUUAAUGCAUGUUAGAGACAUAGUAGAAUGGACUAUGCUCAUGAAACAUACCACACACAAAAAGAGUAUGCAAAAGGGGUGGCCUAAUCUCAUCCAUACUCAUGUUAAUUUUUCAAUCAACUAGCUUUAGGACUUUGAGAUAUCAUAGGCCAAAUCAAAUGAAUGCAUAAAGAAGGGGAAUGAGAUGAAGAGGGAGGGGAAUGGAUCAAAACUCAAAUUGAUCAAAGGAGGACUUUUACCAAAUUAAUCUCAUCCAUUCAUUUUGGGAGAUGGAAUGUACAUUCCAUCAAUCCCCCUAAAUCCAAUGAUAUUAACUUGACAAAGUCAAAUCAACCUUGACCAAGGCCCAACAACAAGAGUCAAACUCAAACAAGUCAUCACAAUUGGUCAACAAAAUUAUUUGGCAUUUAUUCAAAUUAAAAAUAUUAAAAUAAGGCAUUUAAAUUAAAUAUGGUUUGUCAAAUUCCUAAAACCUCAUCAAAACACAAAGAAAUGGCCAUGAGAUUUAUCAUAGGUCAAACAAGGUCCAAUGACCUUGGAGAAAAACUUUCAGAAUUUUUAAAGACUUAAAAGUAUUUUAAACAAUUAAAAACAAAUUCAAAAUCAAUUAAUCAUGAAAAAUAUUAAUAAUGAUCCAAAAAUAAUUUAAUUCAGAAUAUUGAAAGAGGAAAAUUAUUUGAAAUUUUCUUGUGAACUCUCAUAUUUUUUGGAUCAAUAUUAAAAUUAAUAUGAAUUAAUGAAAAUAAAAGGAAUAAAAGAAAAUCAGAAAAUAACAAAAAAACGUGGACCACUUGACUCCCUACAUGAAUGAGAGAUGGCAGAUCAAGUGGUCCUCACGCGCUUUCCACCGUGGACUUAAGUCAAUGCGCCAGAUUGAAUGGUAAUCCGGAACACCAACGCCGUGAGAUUAAAACAAUUGAACCAAAUCAAUGCUCUGAAAACUUCCAGCGCAUCGCUGGCGUCAAAGGCCGGUCAUCUUCUCCGUGACCCUGGCCGACUGGUUCACUCAUCACCAUCAAGAAAAUGAAAAAGGAGGAAAUGAUCUAUGAAAGAAAAAUGACGUAGAGCACGAAUCUGACCUCAAUUUUAACUUAACUCCACAUAUAUAGAAAGAUAUGAGGAGUUGAAUUUUGAGGUGUGUCAACUGAGUUGCUUCGAUUUGACCUCUAAGCAACUCAAUCUUCUUGCCUACAUUGGUAGGACUUCAGACAACCAAAGAUCUAAGAGAAUUGAGUGGAAUUGAGAGAGAAUCGAAGAGAUGAAAUUUUUUGGAAAAUACCUUCAAUGCAGGUCUGGAUUCAAUUGUACUUGCUUUGGCUCGUGCUUGAUCUUGCUCAGUAUGCUUACAGAAGUAGAUUAGAAUGCACAAAAGGUCUUGGAUCCCUGGAGUUUUGAAUCUCAAAACAGUGAGAUUCCAACUCAAUUUCCAAAGGAAAUUCUUAGGAUUAUCCUCUCAAAUGGAAGGGUUUGGUGUUUGGGAUCAAAGCUGGCGCGAAGGGGUCCCUAAUUCUGAGCAUUUGGAGCUCUAUUUAUAUCUGAAUCAUGUGAUAUUUGCACCUUCCAAAUGAGUUUCCAAAAUCGGAAAUGAGUGAUGCAUGUGCGCAUGGGCAUGUACAUGUUCAUGAGAUCAUUACAUUUGAUCCAUAAUUGAGUAUGAACAAGUCUGAAAUCAAAUUGGAGUGCUAGGCAAUUGUACAUGGAAGCUUGAAGUCUAAUUCUUGCCAAAUGAUGAUGCAAUGUUCAAGCCAUGCGCAACCCAUUCAACCCUUGUCCAAAAUGGAUGAAUUUGGACUUUUUGGAAAGGUUAAAUCAAGAGGAAUAACUUUCAUGUUCAACACUUUUCCAUUUGAAGCUUGUAUCAUGAUGAAUUUUGAGGUGGAAGUUUGGAAAUUUUAACAUAUCAAUUUUUUUCUAAGUGUCAAGCCAUAUAUCUCAAGAUUCCACCUUACUUAACUUUUUAUGUGAGCUUAAAAUGAGAAAAGUGUAUUCAUAAAACUUUUAGCUCUUUCAAAGACCUUGAAAAUGGUCACCGAUUUCAUGUCAUUUGGAUUUGAAAUGAUAGAGUUAUGCAUUUUUGAAGUUUGGAAAAAUCACUUGUUCAAUGGUAUAGGUCAAAAGUGACCUAUAAUGUAGCUUCAUAUCACAUGCUCAUAAAAAUUGAAUUAGCUCUCACUCCAAACAUAAAAGUUGAAUUAGACAUCCUGAAUUUGAUUGUUCAACUUGGAAAUCUUUCAUCUCAUAAAAAUUGAGCAAGUUAUGGGAUUGGGAAGUUGACUUUCAAAUUAGGGUUUAGACAAAAUGACCUAUAAUGUUUCAACAUAGAAAAUGAUUUUCCAAGAAAAACUAGCUCUAGGUAUCAACAUGAAAGUUGUUUGGAAUGCCAUUGAGAGUAACGUUGCUAUUGGAAUAAUUUUCAUAUGGUGAAAAUUGUAGGAGAUAGGGUCUAGGGAGACCCAGUUUUGAUCAGAUGAAUUCAUCUGGCCAACCACCAUCAACCAACUUGCUAACCUUCAAUUCUUUGGACUUUCUUGGAAAUUCAUCUGGCCAACCACCAUCAACCAACUUGCUAACCUUCAAUUCUUUGGACUUUCUUGGCUCAUGGUAGAUCAUAUAUGCAUAAGAUGAUGAAUUUUGAAGUGUCCCUUGAGAAAUUUUAUCAAAUGGCAAGAUAGCUUGUUGGAGAAGUUACUCAAGAUACCCAGUCAAACUAGGGUUUCCAGGACAAAUCACCCUCAAACUCUUCAAGAAUGAUUGAUCAAUAUAACAUGUAGGAAUCAAUGGAAAUAAUAUAUGAUGCUCAUACCAUUCUUGGAUCAAUUCAUGGUUGUGCUCUUUGUCAUGAGGGUCAUAAACCCUAUAUAUGAACUUGAUAUAUCAAUGGUGAUCAUGCCCUACCUACAAAAGAGUUAGGCAAACACAAAGACAUAUUUUUGUAUUUUGGUUAGUAAAAUGAUAAUAUACAAGUAUGAUACAAUCACAUAGUGCUUGGUGAUCUCUCCCAAGACAAACGCAAUGAAAGAGGGGUAAGGAGGAUGUCAAGGUAUGAUCCCAACGCUAAUGCUUAUGAUGAAAUUGCAUGAGGGAUCUUAGGGUCAAAAUUGGUGUCUUACACCUGACUCCAUGCUCGUGACUCAUAACAAACCCUUUGAUUCUUGGUUGAUACGAUCAAGUCUUGUCAAUAUCAAUGGAACUUGGGUGUUGAUAAGGUGAAAACCAUAAUCCACCAAAAUGGAUAAUUGAUCUUGAUGAUGACUUGAUCCGUCCCUUGACCUUUACUUGUGCUUGCCUUGUUUAUGAUCCCUUGUGUGUGAUUGUUACAUUCAUGUAUACAUGCGCAUCAUGACAUUCAUCACAGAAAAUAAAUUUCAAGGAACUAAGGUCUUGUUUGCAAAUGUUUUCAGACCAUGGAUUAUGGACGAAGGAACAUUAAGAAGUACAGUUUAAGAUGUCCUGAUUUGAAAGAGCUAAGGAAGUUGUCAUCCUUUGUAUUAGAUCCCUUGGACUUUAAGCAACGUCAUGGGAACCAUUUAUCUGUGUUAUCUGCUGAUAUGGUUGAAGGACUUCUGAGUGUGUUGGUUCAGUUUUAUGAUCCUCUCUACCAGUGCUUCACUUUUCCUGAUUAUCAGCUUGUGCCUACGUUAGAGGAGUAUGCCCAUCUCUUGGGAAUACCCGUAUCUGACAAAGUACCUUAUAGUGGAUUAAAGGAGAUUCCCAGAUCUCAUAUCAUAGCUGAAGCUCUUCAUCUGAAGAUAUAUAAGAUUGAUGCUCAUUUGGUGAAGAAAGGAGGUAUUUUUGGGUUGACUUCUGAGUUCCUCAUUGGUAAAGCUAUUUUUUUUGCUCAAGCAGGUAACAUGGAUGCUUUCGAAGCCAUAUUUGUAUUGCUCAUCUAUGGUUUAGCUUUGUUCCCUAACAUUGACGGUUUUGUUGAUGUUAAUGCCGUUUGAAUUUUCUUGAUUGGGAAUCCUAUUCCUACUCUGUUGGAUGACAUGUAUGUCUCUUUGCAUUUGAGGAAUUCUAAAGGUGGUGGGACUAUUGUGUGCUGUAUUCCUCUUCUGUACAAGUGGUUUAUUUUGCACUUGCCUCAGACGUUUGCUUUUUUAGAGAACAAGCAAUGUCUACGGUGGUCUUAGAGACUUAUGUCUCUCACUAAUGAUGAUAUUGUUUGGUAUGAUUCUGCAUUGAGUAGUGUGGACAUUAUUGACAGUUGUGGUGAAUUCACUAAUGUGCCUCUUGUAGCGGUGUAUUCGUCACCUUAUGAUUUAUUGACUAAAUCAAAAGCAAAGCAUACAAAAAUAGAGUCGCCACCGUACUUCUAUUUAUCCAAAGGAAUGGCUAGAAAGCGAACAAAAGCCUAUGAAGUUUUACACAGAGAAAACUAAUAAAAGGCCAGAGAUCUGGGUAAGGGGGUAAUUAUGCAAAGGGAAGGUGUUAGGCACCCAAUGCAUCCUAGGUACUCCUAGGGAACCUCUUUUCACAAAUGUUGUAUUAUUAUUUGUUUAUGAAAUAUUUUUGUGCAAACCAUGAUUGAAGGGAUGAGAAAAGAAUAUACAAUUUUUAUUAUUUUUGUGUUUGAAUGGAUGAACUCAUUGCCUACGUACCUUUUCAUGAAAGAUAAGGAUCAAAACGCCGUAGUUCGGCUAAAAGAUUUCCAAAAAGUGAGUGGAUUGAUUUUAAACAAGAACCUUAAGGUCUUUCAUUAUCAACGGGAGAAAACUCAACCUGAACCAACAAUCCACCAUGUGAGAAAAGCUUCGACAUGCUAGUGAGGGGUUAACCCUAUAAUAAGCAUGGAAGUCUUACAAUUCAAUCACUAAGGAUGCGGUGAGAUUUACAUCAACCACUAUAAUAAUUCAGAUAUAUGGCUAAUGUAUGAAAACUUGAUUAAGAGAGUGGACAAGGGCCACAAAAGCAAUUGAGUGAGUGAAAUUAACCAAUUAGAAUUAUUCACAAAGAAUGGUCAAAGUUGACAUUAGAUUCAAUUCAAAAGAAGUAUUGUGAAAAUGAAGUUUGAAAAUCAGAGGCUUAAGGCCUAGGUUUCUAGUUUUGAAAACAGAUGAAAAUGUUUGCACAAAGUUUUCUGGUUUGGGUUAAAGAUGAAAACAAGGUUCAAGGUUAAGCACAAAAGGGUUAAGGGACAAAAAACAGAUGAAAAUGUUUGCACAAAGUUUUCUGGUUUGGGUUAAAGAUGAAAACAAGGUUCAAGGUUAAGCACAAAAGGGUUAAGGGACAAAGCCACAAAUAGGAAUCGCUUUCUCAAAAUCAUAGGAAUGAUUCAAGGAAGUUCCUUUGGAAUUAGGCAACACAAGGCAAAAGCAAAUAAGCAAGCUCAAAGGAGCAACAAAACUGGAAAUGGAUUGCCAAUAAAUGGUCUUACGUCCAACUCCGGAAACAAAUGGGAAACGGAGUGCCAAUAAAUGGUCUUAUGUCCAACUCCACAAAGCGACAUGGGAAACAGAUAGCCAAUUAAUGGUCUUACGUCUGACUCCACAAAAAGAAAACAAGUAGGAAAUAGAUAGCCAAUCAAUGGUCUUACACCUGACUCCUCAAAACAAAACAAACACAGGAAACAAAUAGUCAAUCAAUGGUCUUACACCUGACUCCUCAAAACAAAACAAUAUAGGAGAUGGAGUGCCAAUCAAUGGUCUUAUAUCCAGCUCCCCAAAAGGAACAGGAAACAGAUAGCCAAUCAAUGGUCUUACAUCUGACUCCUCAAACAAAAAAAAUAACAAAUGCAAGAGCAAAAUGCAAACAAUAUGCAAAAGCAACAUGAAGGAUGCACAAGUAAGCAACCAAGCAAACAUAUCAAUCAAUUAUCACACGCUAUACACAACCAAGAGGCUCAUACAAGGCUGGGCUUUAGUUAAGGGGUCAUAUCAACCUCGACAAACAAGCCAGAUAUGUAAGGGUGUUUGGGCUCUUAACCACUGACAUUGACCGUCAGGGUGAGCAGAUGAAAUGGGAGAUGAGGGUUAGACCUCAUAGCUCUCAACCCUGGCCGGGGUGAGCUUGAAUCAAAGAAGGUGUGGGAGUCCAGAAUAAGGAACUCUACUCCACAAUGACUGACUCUAUAUACAAUGAUCUUGGGUGUUUAUUCAAAUGCAUCAGCACAUAGUGCGAGCAAUAUGAAAGACUCAACUGAAUAGCAGGGGAUGGAUUGCACAUCCCUCCUAUCUGCCAAUGCCUUCACUUAGGAGGUCUUACAAUGUAACCAUGCCUCACUGAGGUCUUUAGCACAAAAUUAAACAAUCAAGAAUGUGGCCUCUUAAGGAGGGCUUCAGACAGGUGCCUGCCAAAGAUAGCAGGUCUCCAGACUACAUGGAGUUAAGGAAAUACCAAGUGUUGCAACACCAAGCACAGCAAGCAACUCAAGUAAUGAGUUAAAGCUACUAAAGUACCUGUAAGAAAAUCAAACAAGUCAAUAUUCACAUUCAGACAAACUAAACAAACAGUCAACAGUCAGACAACCAAUAUACACAAUGUAAGUCAACAACUCAAGUGAAUUAGCCAUCCAAGGACCUACAACACAAUCAACAUUAGUUAAACAAAGCAAAUUGUAUCUCAAGCAAGGAGAUUACAUCAUCCAUUAGGAAUUAUUGCUUGAACCUGAAAUGCAAAGCUCAAAUUGUGAGUACAAACCCCUAAGGCAAAGCCUAGGGUCAAAGGUGAAGUAAAAAGUCAAAACAGCAACCAACAUUCAACAUGAAUCACAUUUAAUCAAGUAAGAACAUGUCCUAAAAAGGACCAAGCCAAAAGCAUUAAGCAAAGUCAUGUAGUGAGCAAGAGAAGACAAAGGCAAUUUCAAAGCACACAAUUGAACAUUAAGAAUCAAAAUUCCAUAUUAAAACAGAAAUGAAUCAAACAAUCCUGGAAAUUUUUAUGUGCACAUAAUAUGUCAAACAUAAUCACCAUGCCAAAAAUUAGAAUCAACAGAGUUCAAUUGACCUAGAAAUGAAAAUGCACAAGUAUGACAUCAAAUUGUGUGACACACAUUGUCACACCAAAAGUUUAUGUGUCUAAAACAGAAAUCAAAAAUGAUAAAAAUGCACCAUCAAGCCUCAAAGGUCAAGCAACAUGUUGGGAAUCAUCAUACAAAAUUUCAUGGCAAUUGGAUCAUUUUUGAGCAUUUCACACUAGAAAGAAUGAAGCAAUGUCACAAAUGCAUAUAUGAUCAAUCAACCAAUCACAAUUCAAAUUCCAGAGAUGAUAAAAUCAUGAAACCAUCACCAAAAGAUAAUAGACAAACACAUGAACAUUUUGCAAAAAAUUGGGAAUUAAUUGGAUAUGUUUUCAAUUUUAUAUGAUUUUUCAAAGUUGGAUAAAAUGUUUGAAAUAAAUGAGCAAACACAUGUUGAAAAUGGAGGGAAAGAUUAAAUGAUGAAUUAAUUUGAAAACAUGUCUCAGGCUGGAAUCGAACUCGGUGGCAAUUAAAUGAAGCGCUGAAACACAAAUAAUCCAGAAAUGUUCACGUUGGGAAUCGAAUGGGGGAAGGAUGAAACGCAGAGUUUCAUUAAUGCGUUGGCGUCCACGUCACUGAGUCAAAGGCCAUGUGGCUUGGUCAAAAGAACGCUGGCCAACGGAUACGCCAACGAUGUGCUUGCAUGGACAUGACCAUGCAAAGCCCUAGCGCUAAAACCAGAAGGCAGCGCUACAGUACCAGGGCGGCGCGCACGGUGGAAGCCACCGUCUUCUUCAUGAAGACGGUGGAGAAACAGUAACUUCAUGCAAGAAAUUUUCCAGAAUCAUGCAAUAUCUAUACCAAAUGAAAGCUCUUGCUACGUACAUUACAGAUCAAGCAAUAUCUAAGGCUAAUUCAUCAUGAAUCUUGAGAAUCGAUCAAAACAUUAUUGGAUACAAAACUUUAAAUCCACAUAACUCGGUCAAUAUUCAUCCAAAUCACAUGAAAUUUUCAUCAGCAUGCUCAGCAAGAGAAGGUCUACACUAUCAUGGCAAAAGAUUGGAGAAUUAAGAGCUUCGAAAAACCUACCUCUUGAAGAACAGUUUCUGGAAUCAACAGUUUCAAGGCCUGACACGAUUCAAAUCCACUCCUCUAUCACUGUUAUGAAGCUUUAUGAAGAAAUUGAGGCUUGGAGAGGCUUAGAUCUAGCUCAAAUAACAGUUUCCAUCUUCACCUUCAUGAGCUUGAUAUGCUUGAUUUCCACUCAAAUCCUUCAAAACAAAGUUUGAUCUGCACUAAAGGAGGGUCAGAGAACAAGAAUAUACAAGAAAAUCACUAGCUUAUGUGAAGAAAAUUUGAAUUUGGAUUGAGAGAAAAUUUUGGAGGGAAGAAGAAUUUAGAUCUAGAAAUGGUGAAGAUCCAGAAAUUCUGUUAAAAUUCUGUUAGGAUUUGGUAUAUAUACUCAGUCUUAAUCACAUCCUAAUUAAAAUUAAGCAUGGUUUAAUUGAGAUUAGUGAAAAUGGGGUGUGUGACCAAAAAUGACAAUUUGUGUGGUGCAUGGGAAAUGCAUACGUGAACAGUACCAAAUGGGAGCUCAAAUUCACUUAAAAUCUUCCAAUGAACACAAUGGCAAUGGUAUUUUGUCCAUACAAUGCACCAAUUUUAAAUUUAUCAUUUUCCCUCUAAAAUAGUCAUGAAAGAACAAAUGAUCAUGUGAUGAAAUUUCAUGCAAUGUGAUGAAUGAUUUGGAAAUUAGAGGUCAUGACAAGCAAAAUGCAAAAAGAGGCACUCAUUUUGGAGUUAUGAGUCAAAAGUUAUGGCCUUUUGAAGUUCCAUGCACACUUGGCAAUGAUUGGACCAUAUCUCCUCAACCAUUCAUCUGAUGCUCAUGAUCUUGGGCUUUUUGGAAAUGGGAGAGAGAGAUCUUAAACUUUCAUGUUGGACAAAAGUUCAUUUGAAGCUUCUUUGAUGUUGGAAAGUUGAGUUGAAGUUGGUCCAAAAACAUUCCAUUUUUGGAAACUUGAAAUUAUAGGUCACUUUCCAUUUUGGGAAACUUUUGUACUGGCUUCAAAUUCUUCAAUGUAGAUGUUUGACAUGAUGAAUAAGCAUUGUUGGCACAUGAAUGGGAUGAAGAAACUCAAUUUCCCAAUUCAAAAACCACAGUUGACUUUCAGUUGACUGGCAUAGGCCUUUAGAUGACCUGAAAAUGUUUUGAUGAACUUGGGCCUUUGCCACUUGGGGAAUUUGCUUCACAAUGGACCUCUAGCUCACAUAAGCUCAAAAUAAUGAUCACAUGAUCCAUAUCUCAAGGAAAACCUCAUCUCUUGCACAAAGGAUUCACUUGAUUGCCUUGACUUGUUGAUUGUUUAAGCUGCAAGACAAAGGUUAAUGACAUAUUUUUGUACAUUUUUGGUUAGUGAUUAAUAGAAAAGCAAUGAUACACAAAUGCAAGGAAUGCUUGGUGAUCAAGAAUUACUCUCAAGAAAGAUCCCACCCACAGGGAAGGAAGCAAGGUGUCCAAUGAUCCUUGAGGCAAUGCAAUGUUAUGAUAUGAUGCCAUGAGGGAUCUUAGGGAUAAAAUUGGGGUCUUACACCUCUCAUUGGUACACAAGGAGGAAUCAACUAUAACCCUGCUUUGAAUCGUCGUCAACUUGGGUUCUCCUUGAGAGAUAAACCUAAUAACACUCAGUUAGAAGGUCUAUUUUAUAAAGAGGGUAAUGAUCCUCAACAUUUGAAGCAAAAGAUGAUACAUGUGUGGCAUAAUAUGCAUAGGAAAGGAAGAUCUGAGCUUAGUCAGCGCAAAUGUGUAGCUCUGGGAGCUUACACUAUUUGGGUGAAGAAGAGAGCUUUGGAGCUGAAGAUGCCAUACGCUUGUGAAAGAACUAUAUCUAUGGUUAUGGCUGAGCCAUCAACUCUCCCUAACCAAGAUAUAGAGGAGUUGGAAGACGCACUCACCAAGAUGAAGCAAGAGAGAGAUAUGUGGGAAGAGCGGUUCCAUACUUUGAGCUGAAAGCAUGAGGAGUUGUAGCUUGAGUCAAAAGACAAGGAUGCACUUAUUGAGAUUCUUGAAGACCGAGCAGUGAAAAGACAGAGAGAUCCAGAUGGUCUACCUUCCUCUAUUAUGCCUCAGCCUUCCAGUGCUUGGAAGAAGAUUAUUGAUCAGCUAGUUCUUGAGAAGGCUCAGAUGAAGAUAUCCUUUGAGUUUGAGAUUCUACACAUCCGAAGGAAGUAUUCACAAUAGCCAGAUCAUCUGACGCAGUUGCUAAGGGAUCCUUAGGAUGAUAGUUUCCUUUUCUCUUGUAUUUGUACUUUGGUUUCUGAAAUUGUACUUAGUGUAAUCCUUCCAAAUUUUAUGAAUAAAAAUAGAUUUUAUGGUCAAUCAAAUUAUUGUUAUUUGAAUAUAAAUUUGCAAAUAGGACUUCAUAUGUUCCUUGAAAUUAAAAAACAUUGCAUUUCAUACAUCAUUUGCACAACACGUUUUCUUCCGCCAGAUGUCUUAUCAGUUCUCCUUCUAUGCAUCAGCCAAGCUGACUCACCGUUACAAUACUCGCGCUAAUCAACCAAGGAUCAUGGAGCAUCUAGAGCAAGAGAGCAGAGAGCUAAAGGACGAGAUCACCAGAUUAACGACUAUGAUGGAAUCUGUCAUUGCUGCAUAUAAUCAAUCUUCACCAUCUUCUGCAACUCCUCCCUAGAUGACUUUUAUUUCUGAGGUUGCUACCUUAACUGUUCCUGUUGCUGCUGCCAUUCAAUCCAUGCCCUCUAUGCCUGCUGGGUUUCCUUGGGGAAUUCCAUCAAAUUUUAUGCCAGAAGGGUAUGCGCCCACCUUUGUUUCUCUGUCGGCAUCUAGCCCGGUCAUGUCAGUGCCUCCCCCGGUUGUUCACACUCUUCCUCGUGUUAAGGAUACUAUCUACCUUUCUGACCCGUCUGAGGGCCCAGAUGUAUAUGAGAAGAUGGAUGAGAUGAAAGAUCAAUUCCUCUAGCUACGUAAAGAGUUGAAUACCUUGAGAGGAAAAUACUUGUUUGGGAAGAGUUCUGUUGAACUUUGCUUGGUCCCCAAUGUUAAGAUCUCGGUGAAAUUCAAGGUCCCAGACUUUGAAAAGUACGAAGGGAAUACUUGCCCACUAAGCCAUCUUGUGAUGUACGUCAGAAAAAUGUCUACUCAUACUGAUAAUGAUCAGUUGUUGAUUCACUAUUUCCAAGACUGUUUAACUAGAGUUGCUUUAAGGUGGUAUAUGGGUUUGGAUAGUGCAAAAAUUCUUACUUUCAACGACUUAGGCGAGGCCUUUGUCAAGCAGUAUAAGUACAACGUGGAUAUGGUGCCUGAUGGAGACCAGAUGAGGUCUAUGUCUCAGAAAGAUAAAGAGACAUUCAAACAAUAUGCCAGAGAUGGAGAGAGCUUGGUGCCCAGACAAGUCCACCUCUUGAAGAGAAAGAGAUGCGAAGAUGUUCUUGAAGAUGUUGAGUUUGUUUUAUUAUGAAUGUAUGAUUGCGGGUGCCCCCAACAAUUUUACCGAAAUGGUAAACAUGGGGAUGAGGCUAGAAGAAGGAGUCCGUGAAGGACAUAUGUCUAAAGAAGAAGCAUCAUCCAACAAGAAAUAUGGUUGGAGUUUCUCCAAGAGGAAGAAAGGAGAAACUAAUUCAGUGUCAGUAGGGAGGCAGAGGAGGCCUCAUGUCAGAAAGAGUUCUCAACCCUGUCAACAUCAGUAUCAAGUUUCCUCAGUAAUUCCGUUUUUUUCCAUCAAUUUCAACAAUCAAUCAGUUCCAAUUCAACAACAACAACAUCAACAACAACUGCAACAAUGAACCAACUACAACAACAAUAAUCAUCAAUAAAACUUUGAGAGGAAGAAGGUCUCCUUUGACCCUAUUCCUAUGAAUUAUGCAAAAUUGUAUCCAUCAUUGGUUCUCAAGAACCUCAUUCAACCAAGAAAUCCUUCGCCGAUUCCUGAGCCAUUACCAUGGUGGUUCAAACCCGACCUUCAUUAUGCUUUUCACUAGGGAGCCCAUGACCAUGACAUAUAAAACUGCUAUCCAUUGAAAUAUGAAGUCCAAAAGCUUAUAAAUAGUGGUAUGGUGUCCUUUGAGGAUAAAUCACUGAAUGUAAAAGCCAAUCCGUUGUCUGCUCAUGGUAACGCUUCUGUCAACAUGGUGGACGGCUGUCCAGGGAAUUUUAGAGUUUUUGAUGUACGACGUAUCCGAAGAUCUCUGGUGGAGAUGCAUAAGACAUUGUGUUUGAUCAGUGAUUGUGAACAUGACCAUGAUGGUUGUGUCAUCUGUAGUGUGAACCCCCGUGGGUGUAUGGUCGUCAAGAGAGAUAUCCAGACGUUGAUGGAUGAGAAUGUAAUCUAGAUUAAAUAGUCAAGGGAUAUAGAUGAUGUGAAUGUUAUUGUACCGGUGUUCAAGACCCAUGAGCGGGUAGUUAUCGAGUUCGAUAGUAGCAACAACAAUAAUGUUAACAGAUCGGUAUCGUCGUUGGUUAUACGGUUAGUGGGCCCUGUCCCGUAUGCAUCCGAUAAAGCUGUGCCAUAUCAAUAUAACGCCAUUAUGAUUGAAGAUGGUCAAGAGGUUCCUCUACCAGUCGCCGACUCAGUGGUGAAUAAUGCAGAUAUUACGAAGGUGACUCGUAGCGGUUGUGUGUCCAGUCCCGUGUUUCCAAAGAUAGUAGAAGAUGUUGCAGCAAGUAAGAAAGCAGAGAUUCCUAUAGUGAAUCCAGUUAGUACUCCAAUGUGUCAAUCUGGUGAAUCCAUCAAAUUGAAGACUAACAAUGAUGAUGAGGUGCUAAAGUUGAUCAAAAGAAGUGAAUUCAAUAUUGUGGAGCAGCUACUCCAGACGCCGUAAAAAAUCUCCAUACUGUCACUGCUAAUGAAUUCUGAAGCACAUAGGGAAGCGUUGCAAAAAGUUCUAGAGCAGGAUUAUGUUGAGCACGAUGUGACCGUGGAUCAGUUUGACCAUAUAGUUGCCAACAUUACUUCUUGUAAUAAUCUGAGUUUUGUGAUGAAGAUCUUCCCGGGGAAGACAUGAAUCACAAUUUGGCACUCCAUAUUUCGAUGAAUUGAAAAGAGGAUGCUCUGUCCAAUGUGCUGGUUGAUACAAAGUCAUCUUUGAACGUGCUCCUGAAAUCAACUCUGUAAAGACUCUCUUAUCAAGGCACCCUAAUGAGGUACAACAACGUGAUUGUCAAAGUGUUCGACGGUUCUCGUAAAACUGUCAUUGGUGAAGUGGACCUUCCAGUGAAGAUAGGUCCGAGUGAUUUCCAUAUUACUUUCCAGGUAAUGGAUAUCCACCCGACCUACAGUUUCUUAUUGGGAAGGCCAUGGAUUCCUGAAGCUGGAGCUGUGACAUCUACUCUACAUCAGAAGCUAAAAUUUGUGAAGAACGACAUGCUUGUUAUUGUUGGUGAAGAGAAGGCAUUGUUAGUGAGCUAUUUGUCAUCUUUCACUUAUUUUGAUGAUGAGGAGAAGAUUGGAACAAAGUUCCAGGCCUUAUCCAUUGCUGAUGAAAUGAAGAAAACUGGGGCACCCAUGUCUUCUUUAAAAGAUGCGCAAGAGGCUAUUCAAGUUGGUAACAUUUACAAGUGGGGUCAUGUUGUGGAGAUUACCGAGAACAAGAAUAGAGCUGGAUUGGGAUUUCAACUAGGGCCAUUCAGUGCCAGAGCCAAAGUUAUGCAACCAAUUUUCUGCAGUGGAGGGUUCAUUAGUGAGAAUGAUCAACACUUAGCCGCCAUUAUUGAAGACAGUGGUGAUGAAGACGAAGCUUGCGCCAACUUUGUGACGCAUGGCCAGACUUGCAACAACUGGAUUGUUGUUGAUGUUCCUGUUUUCAUUCAUCGUUCUAAGUAAUUUGUUUUAUUUAUUUUAAGAAAAUCCUUCUCUUAUGCCUAAGGGAGAAGUGAACAUUGUUGGGCAUUUUAUUAUUAUCAUCAAUAAAAUACGAUUUUAUUCAUCCACAUCUAUGAUGUUUUAUAUUUUCUUUUUGCUUUUUGCUUUUUCUGAAAAUGGUAAUCACAAAAAACAUAACAAAUAGUAAUCUUCCAUCUGCAUAAUAUUUGUUCACACUCCACUUCUCUAAAAUCAAAAUAUCAAAUGAUUAUGCAGGUUGGUUCUCAAACCCAUUGAAUACAAUGAUCCUACUCCCUCUCCAAACUUUGAUUUCCAUGUGUUUGAAGCUAAGGAAGAAAGUGAUGAUGAAGAAAUAUCUGAUGAAUUAUCUCGUUUGCUUAAGCACGAGGAAAAAGUCGUUCAGCCAUUUAAAGAACAAAUUAGUCAACUUGGGUUCCGAGGACGAUGUGAAAGAAGUCAAUAUUGGGUCUCAACUUUGUCUAGAAGCUAAGAAGGGGUUGAUUGAUCUUCUUCGAGAUUAUUCUGAUGUGUUUGCUUGGUCCUAUCAAGACAUGCCAGGGUUGGAUUCUGAGAUUGUGGAGAAUAGAUUGCCGUUGAAGCCAGAAUGUCCGCCAGUCAAGCAGAAGUUAAGAAGAACUCAUCCUGAUAUAGCAGUUAAGAUCAAAGAGGAAGUGCAGAAGCAGAUUGAUGCUGGUUUUCUUGUAACCUCUGAAUAUCCGCAGUGGGUGGCCAAUAUUGUGCAUGUUCCUAAGAAAGAUGGAAAAGUACGCAUCUGUGUUGAUUAUAGAGAUUUGAAUAAAGCUAGUCCAAAAGAUGAUUUUCCUCUGCCACACAUUGAUAUGUUGGUAGACAAUACAUCUAAAUUCAAAGUCUUUUCAUUUAUGGAUGGAUUUUCCAAUUAUAAUCAAAUCAAGAUGGCACCCGAAGAUAUGGAGAAGACCACAUUCAUUACACCCUGGAGAAUAUUCUGUUAUAGAGUGAUGCCUUUCGGUUUAAAGAAUGCUGAUGCAACGUACCAGAGAGCUAUGACCACUCUUUUUCAUGAUAUGAUGCAUAAAGAGAUUAAAAUUUAUGUUGAUGAUAUGAUUGCCAAGUCAAGUGAUGAAGAAGAGCAUGUUGAGCAUUAGUUAAAGUUAUUCCAGCGAUUGAGGAAGUACAAACUCCACUUGAAUCCCAAUAAGUGUACUUUUGGUGUUCGUUCUGGUAAGUUAUUGGACUUUAUUGUCAGUGAGAAGGGUAUUGAAGUUGAUCCUGCCAAGGUCAAAGCAAUACAAGAAAUGCCUGCGCCCAAAACUGAGAAGCAAGUCAGAGGAUUUCUCGGCCGCUUGAAUUAUAUCUCAAGAUUUAUAUCGCAUAUGACUGCCACAUGUGCGCCUAUUUUCAAGCUUCUUCAGAAAGAUCAGUCUUGUGAUUGGACCGAAGAUUACCAUAAAGCUUUUGAUAGUAUCAAAGAGUACUUGCUUGAGCCUCCUAUUUUGUCUCUGCUUGUUGAAGCAAGACCGUUGAUCAUGUAUUUGACUGUGUUGGAUGAUAGUAUGGAUUGUGUUCUUGGUCAGCAAGGUGAAUCGGGAAAGAAAGAAUAUGCAAUUUACUACCUCAGUAAGAAAUUCACCGACUGUGAGACUCGGUAUUCUAUGCUUGAAAAGACAUGUUGUGCAUUGACUUGGGCUGCUAAGCGUCUACGCCAAUAUAUGUUGAACCAUACCACUUGGUUGAUAUCCAAAAUGGAUCCAAUCAAGUAUAUCUUUGAGAAGCCUGCUUUAACUGGGAGGAUUUCCCGUUGGCAGAUGUUGUUAUCUGAGUAUGAUAUUGAAUAUCGAUCUCAGAAAGUUAUCAAGAGUAGUAUCUUAGCAGACCAAUUGGCUCACCAACCGAUUGAAGAUUACCAGUCAGUGCAGUAUGAUUUUCCUAACGAAGAGAUUUUGUACUUGAAAAUGAAAGAUUGUGAUGAACCGCUGCUUGAAGAAGGGCCAGAACCUGGUUCCCGUUGGGGCAUGGUAUUUGAUGGAGUUGUUAAUUCAUAUGUGUCAUACCCCAAUUUGGUCAGGGCAUUUCAAAAUUUUCAUAAAUUUGAUUUAAUUUUCAGUUUUCAUCAUAUCUACAGCAUAACACGCAUUUCAUCAUGAAUAACACAUAAAAUAUCAGUCGGAAUAAAUUCUUGAAAAUACAAACAAGUUGGUUAAAUCAUUCCUCAAGUACGGACAAAAUCAGCGGAUAAAAAAGUUUUGAAAUUAAACUUGCAGACGUCAGUAUUAUUAAUCUAUGGUUCACGUAGUUUAAUCUGGUGUGCUCGUUUUAUUUUUCGACGACUUUUUCAGUCGCAUUUUGAUCCAUCUGAGCCUUUUAACCGGUGAAAAUUUAUUUCAAAAUUUAAAGAAACGCUGUAUUUUUUCAAUAAGUAUAUUUCGUGCUGAUCAUUUUAGUGCGUCUGAUUUAAUUUUUUGAGCAAAUUUUUGCCCGACUUUUAUUCAUUUUUAGUCGUUUUAAUUUUACUCUUUUGCCAAAAUAUUCAGAUUAAAUAAAUAGAAUUUUCCAUGUCCUUAGUUUAUUUUUAUCACAUUAAUUUAAGGAGUUGUCAAUUUUAUUUGAUUUAAUUGAUUUAAAUGGUUUAAAUCAAUUAAAUCAUAUAGAAUGGGCGUUUUAGGCAUUUUAAAUUAUCUAACAACUUUUGUUUCUUUGUGUGUUUCCUUAAGUUAUAUUGGGAUCAUCGGUUCAAAUUUAUCAAUGACCCAUAAUGGCAAUCCUUCUCCAUUUCAUUUCAUCCAAUCAAAAAUAAAAUAAAAUUAAUUGAAUUAAAAAUGACAAAGAAAAUUAGAAAAUAAAAAUAUCUUGUUUCUCCCCAGUAAAGUUGAGCCACACGUCCGUUAUGGAUAAGGAUUAUAUUUUUUUUAACUAAAGAAAAUGAAAUACAACUCAAUAACCUCUGUCCACUAAUGAAUCUCUGUUGGUCUAACGGUAAGAAAGGAAAAAAAACAAAAAGGACAACUAGCCUCCACACUCUCUCAGAGACUCUCUCAUUUUCCAAUGGCUAUAGGUCACAGAAAAAUAAAAUAAAAAGGAAAAAGGGGAACACCGUUCAUGUUCUUUCCCACAACUCCAUUCACUCACGUAGAACGCCAAUCAACCACAAUAAGCCGCCGGAAAACAUUAACUCAUUACAAUCGCCGCCUCCAUAAAACCUCCUUCACACUCACCUCCGCUGCGAACCCGGACCACCGUCCCAUCCAACCUUCCGCCACGAAUCUAAUCCCCACCGUUAUCUUCCCACCAUCACAAAGUCCCCUCUCCAACUUCUCUGUCGCGGCUACAACACCACGACACCCCCCCGUUGCACCGUCGGUGGCAACCCCAAACCAUCCGCCGGCGAACCCUUAUCCGUCUGUCACCAAUUCCGACCACCGCAAAACCAUCUCACUUCGCUCAUUCCAUCUCCGUUCCUUCACCUGCGCAAACUAAGCGCCAUAGUCGCCCAACACACCUCUCCUUCUUCUUCUCUAAGUUCCGCCGGCAAACGAUUCUUCCGUUGGAAACACCAUCACCAUCAUAAAACUCUCCUCAUCAUGGAAUCACAGUCCAUUUCCUUCAUACACCCUCGCCGACAACGUCCAAAACAUUACUCCCUUUUACUACUUCAGAUCUACAAACUCAACCGUCGCCCGUGAAUCCUCCACCGCGACCCACCUUCAACUACCGCAUGAUCCUUUUUCCGACCGACCAACCCCAAGCUACACCAUUCAACAUCGUCAAACACAUGACGCCCAUCGCCGGCGGAAUAUUACAUCUACCUGCACCGUCAAGCCUCUCUCGUUACGGUAUUCUUGCGUCACCGUCAUUUUCCGUGUUUGGUUGGUUUUCCUGUCUUAUCUCUUUCUAUACUCGUUGUUCUAAUGAAUUUCAUGGAAUUGUAGCAUAUCUAUGAUGGUGUAUAUCGAUUAUGCCGGUUAUGUUUCAAUUUCAUCAUGUGACUUUUGUUGACUAUCAUGUUGUUGUGUUUGUUCAUAAGGAAGUUGGAAAAAGUAGCUAAGCACAUGCUUGUGUGGUUUAAUCUCUGUGUUUUUUUAUUAGGAUAUUAGAUUGUUGUGGAUCUUUUAAAUAUUGCAUGUAGUAAUAUAUUGAUUAAUUGGCCAAUAGAUUGUGAGAUAUUAAAAGUCUGUUACGGCUGAUUUUGGUUUGGUAUCUUGCCAAGAAUAUGUAAAUAAAAAGUUAAGUUAUAGCAUAUGAAUGGUGGUAAUCAUAAUUCUGAGUAGUAGUACAUAUAUUGUAAUUAUAUUUUGGUUAUAUCACAGUGUACAUAGAUUGUAAUUAUAAGUUGGUUAAAUUAUAGCAUAUGAACGGUGGUAGUCAUAAUUCUCAGUAGUAGUAUAUAUAUUGUAAUUAUAUUUUGGUUAUAUUACAGUGUACAUAGCUUGUAAUUAUAUUUUGGUUAUAUUAUAGCAUAUGAAUAGUAGUAAUCACAAUUCUGAGUUAAUUAAGUAUUAAUAUUUUAAUUGUAUUAACAAUUGAUUGCUAU
rnacentral:lncRNA from 1 species